AAGGCGUAGUCGAUGGGAAACGGGUUAAUAUUCCCGUACUUGGUGUUACUGCGAAGGGGGGACGGAGAAGGCUAUGUUGGCCGGGCGACGGUUGUCCCGGUUUAAGCGUAUAGGUGUGUGUUCCAGGUAAAUCCGGUUCACUUUAACACUGAGGCGUGAUGACGAGGCGCUACGGUGCUGAAGCAACAAAUGCCCUGCUUCCAGGAAAAGCCUCUAAGCAUCAGGUAACAUCAAAUCGUACCCCAAACCGACACAGGUGGUCAGGUAGAGAAUACCAAGGCGCUUGAGAGAACUCGGGUGAAGGAACUAGGCAAAAUGGUGCCGUAACUUCGGGAGAAGGCACGCUGACAUGUAGGUGAAGUGAUUUACUCACGGAGCUGAAGUCAGUCGAAGAUACCAGCUGGCUGCAACUGUUUAUUAAAAACACAGCACUGUGCAAACACGAAAGUGGACGUAUACGGUGUGACGCCUGCCCGGUGCCGGAAGGUUAAUUGAUGGGGUCAGCGCAAGCGAAGCUCCUGAUCGAAGCCCCGGUAAACGGCGGCCGUAACUAUAACGGUCCUAAGGUAGCGAAAUUCCUUGUCGGGUAAGUUCCGACCUGCACGAAUGGCGUAAUGAUGGCCAGGCUGUCUCCACCCGAGACUCAGUGAAAUUGAACUCGCUGUGAAGAUGCAGUGUACCCGCGGCAAGACGGAAAGACCCCGUGAACCUUUACUAUAGCUUGACACUGAACAUUGAGCCUUGAUGUGUAGGAUAGGUGGGAGGCUUUGAAGUGUGGACGCCAGUCUGCAUGGAGCCGACCUUGAAAUACCACCCUUUAAUGUUUGAUGUUCUAACGUGGACCCGUAAUCCGGGUUGCGGACAGUGUCUGGUGGGUAGUUUGACUGGGGCGGUCUCCUCCUAAAGAGUAACGGAGGAGCACGAAGGUUGGCUAAUCCUGGUCGGACAUCAGGAGGUUAGUGCAAUGGCAUAAGCCAGCUUGACUGCGAGCGUGACGGCGCGAGCAGGUGCGAAAGCAGGUCAUAGUGAUCCGGUGGUUCUGAAUGGAAGGGCCAUCGCUCAACGGAUAAAAGGUACUCCGGGGAUAACAGGCUGAUACCGCCCAAGAGUUCAUAUCGACGGCGGUGUUUGGCACCUCGAUGUCGGCUCAUCACAUCCUGGGGCUGAAGUAGGUCCCAAGGGUAUGGCUGUUCGCCAUUUAAAGUGGUACGCGAGCUGGGUUUAGAACGUCGUGAGACAGUUCGGUCCCUAUCUGCCGUGGGCGCUGGAGAACUGAGGGGGGCUGCUCCUAGUACGAGAGGACCGGAGUGGACGCAUCACUGGUGUUCGGGUUGUCAUGCCAAUGGCACUGCCCGGUAGCUAAAUGCGGAAGAGAUAAGUGCUGAAAGCAUCUAAGCACGAAACUUGCCCCGAGAUGAGUUCUCCCUGAGACUUUAGGUCUCCUGAAGGAACGUUGAAGACGACGACGUUGAUAGGCCGGGUGUGUAAGCGCAGCGAUGCGUUGAGCUAACCGGUACUAAUGAACCGUGAGGCUUAACCUU
rnacentral:rRNA from 1 species